GGCGGGAGGCGCGGGCUGCCCGCUGAGUGCCGCGUCUGGCUUCGUUUCUUCAGAGUUUUGGUGGGACUUUAAGGCCAGCAGCGCUCGGUUCUUCGGAGUUGGCGCUGUUUCUGCGGUAGUACAUCGGGGGUUUGUACUUCGUUAUCCGCAGCGGUAUCCCGAUGGUUUAAGACUCGCGUUGUUUCUUUAGGUGCCUGCUUAGCGCACGCAGGAGCCGUUGCGGUGCUCAUCUGUGGGGAGAGCUGCGCGGCAGCGGGGAGGAAAGGGGGGGGGGAGGGUCGGCUUUCAGCGACAGCGGCUGAGGUGGAAGGCGGCGGGCGCUGGGACAGGUGCUCUUCUAAGCGCCGCCAUGAAGGGAAAGCAAUAAGGAGCAGAGUGGCGCAGCGGAAGCGUGCUGGGCCCAUAACCCAGAGGUCGAUGGAUCGAAACCAUCCUCUGCUAAUCUUUUCGUUCUGGGGCGAACAGCCGUUAGCGUGAGCGGCACUUGUUCUGAACUGCGUCACCGGGCUCAGCCGGGCCGCUCUAUGUGGCUGCCCCGUUGUUCCGAGUGCGGCCGGUCGGUCCGGGAGCGCUGAGCGGUGAUGCGUUCGGUGCGAACGGGAAGGGGUGAGCGCUGCGCUGCGGGCUCCUUUUAUUCCAGUCCUGCAGCCGCUGCACUGUGUGGUUUUCCUGCACUCCCAGUCACCUUCUGUGUGUUCACACCAGCGGUUGUAACAAUGAUACGUGCAUCUUCUCAACCAAAGCAAGCAGACAAAAGACGCGUGAAAGCAAAACGAGCCUACAAAUAUGAAGUUAAAGUCCGUGCAGUGGUGUCGCAAGUCUGUGUUCAGGUUGUGUUUGUAGAGGCAAUGAAGCGAGGGAGGGCUUAGUGGUUGUGUUUAAUGUUAAGAGGUUUCUGAAAUGGCAUUGUUUUCACUGCUGUGACACGUUGCAGUAAAUGAGCAGUGGGAUUCGUCAUGGAAGCUGCACGGGAGAACGAAGAGAAGGGCAAAUCUAUGGCGGGGGCGACGUGGCCGUUUGUUCUCUGAUUGCCUCAAUAGGAGUGGUUGGGAGGCCUCUCAUAAGCGGUUCCAUGGUGUAAUGGUUAGCACUCUGGACUCUGAAUCCAGCGAUCCGAGUUCAAAUCUCGGUGGAACCUGAGAGUUUUUGUCCGGGAGCGGAGGUGGUGAAUGGUCACCGCGCUGCGGAGGUUCGGUCAUUCAUUGGCUUUUGGAACGCAGUGGGUUACUGACACGUCGUGCUACCGAAAAUCGAAUUUGAAAGGGAAAAAGAAAAGCCGGAGAUCUCUCGCAUUUGUUUGGUCUAUAUUUUUUGCAUUUGUUUGGUCUGUAUUUUUGCAUUUAUUUCUCGCAUCUCGGUUACCACAUCGCUACGUGCGUUAUCUGUGUAACUUCAGACACGCUGCAGUGUGCUGAGAUGUAACCGGUUCCCUUCUGCACGGUGAGCAACCGCGUGAAAGCCGGAACGCGCUGCCAGCAGAGCACGAGGCCGCCUGCCGAGCUCCGCAGCCCCUCCUGCGGUUCGCUUCACGAAGCCGUUUUCCUGCGGUUUGCUUCUCCCAGCAGCUCCUGCCGCGUCCUGCAGCUGAUAGCUUAGCUGUCCUUAUACCGCGAAGUCAUCGAAUGUAGCGGAAAAGCAGGAGGGCGAGUGGUCGGGCUGUGAGCAGCGCUCUGCUCCACGGCCGGUGAUAGUGCAGGGUUUUACCGCUGUGCAUUGCCCAUUAUUUAUUAUGCAGCGCAGCAGAGCCGAGUGCCACCAUGUGGUUCUAUGGUGUAAUGGUUAGCACUCUGGACUUUGAAUCCAGCGAUCCGAGUUCAAAUCUCGGUAGAACCUGGUGGACAGGGGUCACUUUUUCCACUACGGCAGAGAUAACGGAAGGAGUAACGCGUCCGCGGAGCUCUCGUGGCACAGUGAGAUCCCCGCGGGGGAGGCAGCCUGAGGGGCUGAUGAGAGCCGAAGGGCUUUCCGUGGUGCGAACUGUUCUGAUUGUCUUACAUGGGGCCACGUAAGAGGUGCGCUUUUGACAAAACGAUGAACGAGGAUUUUAAUUUCUAAAUAGUUCUUACCCAAACUUAAUCAGGUCUUUCAUUAUGUUGCCUAAUUCAGUUCAUCUGGCUAUAGCCUCAGGUUGUACUCUGCACAACUUUAGUGGUUUUAACCCUGCUUUGCUGCCACAAACCCUAUUUAAGUAGCUAAGGAUGGCUUAAUGUCCCACUACCCUCCUCAGCUUCUGUCCCUGCUCCUCCUUUGCUCACAUUCGGGAUCAGCUCUUCCCUCCUUUACUUCCAGGCAAGUAACCACCUCCAUACCGCCCCUUGGAGAAAUGCAGAGCACCUCCUCAGCCAGUGAUUAUUUGAUGGAAUUCUGAGUCCUGCUUGAGGGAAUUUAUGGAAAUGCUUGCAAAAUUAAUUGUUUGCAUGCCCUACUGAUGCACAACCUCUUCUGCACUGGGAGCGGUUUUCAUCCUUUCCUGCAACUCUUCCCUUUGAUUAAAGCUGAAGAAUAUCCUCCUUUUAGAGCUGAGCAUCUUAAACUAACGUUGGAUUCCAUAGCAGCAUCCUGUUCUUUCAGUGGGGAUUGAUUCAGCUAUCCCAGGGUAAAUCUCUUUACUGCUCCUUGCAUGCUGGUGUUUUCAGUGAGUAACCACAUAUAGCAAACUUCAGUGUAACCAUCCAACCACCCGACUUACCCUACCAGCACCAUCCUUCCCAGCUGAGCACUCCAGAGCCACCGGCUGCUUGUCUGCCUUCCAGUGAUUCACUGUGUGAAGUCAUAGAGAACACAUUGCUGUUUCCUCCUGCUACCCAAAAACUGGUUCCCUUCAGAGCACAGCUGGAAGUGUCUUUGUAAUCCACAGUGCUCACAAAGAGCUGAUGCAGUAUUACUGUUACAGGCUUAUUCAUAUAAAUUCAAACAUUGUGCGUUACAACAAAGAGUACUUAAAGUUGAGUCCAGUUUUACAUGGAAUGAGACAAUCGGUUCGUGAUUCAGUAUCAAGAUUUAUUAGGACAAUUCAUGGUCAUGCUCCAUUUGAACACAAAGCACUGUAGCUUAAUUAACUGAACAUUAUGAUCCAGAUAUAAUCCAGUUGAGACUGCUACAUACAAACACGGUUGUCACCCUUUGUUUCUCUCCCUCUUCUUUACUUGCAGUGGAUAAAGCAACACAGGGCUCUGUGGCUGAGGCAAACUUACUGGAAAAGGCAGAGCAAAAUUACUUUACAAUCCCUCGUAGCAGUCUCAGCAUCAGGUACUGCACAACCCGAGGUACCACCUGCCACUGGAUAUGUUCAGCUUCACAUUCAGCUCUCUCGUCACCAGGGUAACAUACUUAAGUGUCUCUCCUCGAGCCUCUGUUCUGCCACUGCAAGCACCUGCACUGCCUUUACUGAUGCCGUUAUCACAUCCACUAUGUUCAAGUUAACUGCUGACUGCAAACAGACACAGGUUUGUGCAGUACUGGAAGUGAUGCACAGAAGCAGCUGUACAACUAGGAAAUUUGCAAGAUGCAUUCAAACACUUCCAGAAACAACUGAAAAAAAAAAAGCCAAUCUAUAUUCUCAGACUGGAAAACAAUCUGAAACCUUGCUAGCUUAAAAUAAUAAUAAUAAUAAUCCAUUUAUCAAGAACAAAUCUGAUGCUGCUAGGAUAAUCUGAAGACGUUUGGCAACAGGUUGAUGUUCAAGAUUAUGGCGGACAAAACAACUCUGCCCACUCCAUGAAGCUGCAGAAAUGUUUGCACACAGAUACCACUUUAAGAUGUUUGUUAAACAAAGCUUUUUGGCAUACCUAAAAAAUAAGGACACCAAAAUUAAUGAUGCCAAUGCAUAACGACUUGACCUCACAAGCAUUGCUAAGUAGUUUUCCAGGAGCACUCCAUGCAGUUACAGAAGCCCAUCAUCAUGGAGAUGAAUUAAAAGGAAUAACGUGGUAUUUUGUGUAGUGAAAGAUGAGAUAGAAGUGCUGUAAAUCUGGCUCAGCAGAUCUAAUGAAGCUGUUGUGUGCACAUGCUCACAUAGUGGCACAUUUGCACGUUUUGCUUCCAUAAAGAACUGCAAGUAAACAGCAUCAUUCUUUCUAGCUGUGCGUUUAUAAGAGAACUUAAGAGAAGUUCUCUUUCCAACCAAUUUGCAAGUAUUUUUACGUGAAGGAUUGCAUUACAACCAUUUAACACUAAUUUCUCAUGUUCAGUUUAUAUGAAGCAUCUUGUUCCUUACAAAAGGUUUUAUCAGUAAAGAACAGUGACUCUAGUUUGCAACUGAAAAGCAUUUGUUCAAAUAUGGACAGAAGGCAUAUAUAAAUUCCUUACAUCUCUCCAUAUACGUACUGGUCUUGCUAAUAAAAUAACCCCACAACAUGGACAAGUAAAUCCCAAGUUACUAAAUAACAGUUGGAAUAAUAUAGUAAUUCAUUAUGACUGUUCUCCCAAGAAGAAAAUUGCAGACUUUGGAGUAGGAGAAGAUGAUCUCACUUUCCUGCAAAAACCCAAUUUGUGAAGUAACAGGAACCCUCAAUCUGGAGUAUUUUAGAGAUACACUCCCUGCACCUGGCAGAGAAUGCUCAUGUACCUUGCAAGAUCAUGUUUUCGAAUGAAGAAAUCCAUUAUACACAGGAGACAACAAGCAGUAAGAGCUUACAGACAAUGGCAGGAACCCAGCAGGAACCAGGGCUUUUGGAGACUUCUGGUUUUGUUUUCAAAAAGCAAUAGUUCUUCACAGCUAAUGAUCCACAAUUUGGAAAGCAUCUCAUUCAUACACUUGGCUAGUGCAUAGCAUCUGCGAUUGCAUAGAAUGUUUCCAGUGCUCAAUCUGUAACUAAUCUAAGCAAAUAUUUUGGAAGUUUGAUUUGUUACCAUUUGAUAUCCAAGUUGCUUGCUGUUUGAUUUACUGCACUGUAUUUGGUGUGCAAAGUUUCCUGGACCUUCCUGGAAUCCAUGCCUUCCAGCCAGUCCUGGUACAUCUUUUGUACAUACACGUUGGCUUCUGGAAGUCUGACAGGUAUUGCAGCAUACACGUCCUCCAUCUGGCUAAGCAGUGCUUUAUCUGGUUUUCCAUCUUCAGUUUGUGUCUGGCCUUUUCCAUUUAGGCACCCUUAUAAGAAAAGGAGUAAGGCACAAUGGUGAUGAAGAUUUUAUAUGAAAUUUGAAUUUAUUUUUUUUUCAUACUGCUCUAUAGAAAGUAGCUUGAAUUUCUAUAUACUUCAUGUGAAUUCAAGACCAACACCUUGAUGCAAGUGAAGUUACCACAUCAGUCUUUCCCUGCCUUCUGUGGUUUUAUGAUCUUAAUUAAGUUCCCUGUCUUUUCUUGCCCUUGACAACCACACUAUUUCAGAGUAUUCCCUCUGAAGUUUUAAAUAAUCACAGGAGAAGCCAUGUUGUCAUUUAUUUAUAGAUCAGAAGAGAGCAAAUAAUGUUAUGGUUAAUUUUAGAAAAUCCCAUCAAUUUCUCAGCCAAUCCUGUACACGUAUAAUUGCUGUUCUGGUCCAUUUACUAAGUAUUAAGCAUUUUAGGUUAUUAAGAAGAGAAUUAAGAAGGAAUGAAAUGAAGUGCCUGGCUGUCAGACAAACUUUCUUUCAGAUGCCAGUUGUGUGUGCAAUGACUUUGGAUCCAUUAGCAUUCUUACCUCCUGGGCAGGCAAGGACUUCUACAAAAUGGUAUAAAAACUUUCCUUUCUUCAACUUCAGAACCAUGUUUUGGAUAUUCCGAAAGCCAUACGCUGCUGCAAAACGCAGCACUGUCUCACCAUCCUUUUCAAGGGUAACUUCCUGGAAGUCUUUGUUCCUGUGAAGAUACAAAGAUUUUCAAAGCCCUGCAUUACCAAACAGGUGAUCCAGCUGUCAGCUCGUAUUCAGAUGCUUGAGAGAACAGAAUAAGGAUAACAAAAAAUGCAAACUUCCAGUUUCUAAACUGAGUAAAACAGAAGUUGCAGUGGAAUUUUCAGGACAAUAGUAGUAGAUAGAAACUUGUAAGAGCUAGUAUGUUAUUAACACAACAAAAGCUAACAGAAACUAUUUUACAGCAGCAAAUUUAUGUAUUUCUAAUACAUUAACCACCCAUCAAUGAAAGAGCAAGGUUAGCAGGAAGGGUUCACUGCAGUGUUAGCUAUCCAAUCCUAGGUAACAAGGAUACAAGCUUGCUUACUUUAAUGCUUUGUAGGUGAUUUCUUUGACAUCCAUGCCAAAAAGCUCCUUUGCAGCAUGUUUAAAGAUGUGCUCCAGGUACCCAUCAGAUCUCUUCCCAUCGUGCCUUACUACAUCUCCCUCCUUUAUUUCACCAAACAAACUAUCUACAGCUACUUCAGUCACAUCUUUCAUAGACACAUUUUUCUGCUCCAUUAUUUGGACAAUUUCACCUGAUGUUAGAACACAAUCAACUUCUUGGGAGUUAUACAAGGCAGUGUAGAAGUCCUCCCUCAAGGCUUCCAGUUUUUUGUCGUAACAAGGCGCCACAACCACAUGGAAGAUUUUUUCUGGAGACAAAUUCUGCAGAAAAGAGAGCGUGUGUUAAUUGCAUGAAGAACAAAAGACAGCUUGAAGGAUGACAAGCUAAAAAUAACGUACAACUAAUAUUAGAAAUCAAUCCCCAGCAAUAAGUUUGAGGGCUGCAGCACAGAGAUUGAGUGGCUUGCCAGAAGUUGAAAGCGUCAGCAACAAGUCAGUCUUCUGUCUGAAACUUCCACUUAUUCCUUCACACCACAUAACAUGCAGCUUUUGUAGCUUUUGACUGCAUUAAAGAUGAGUGCAAAUUAAGAUUUCUGUUUCAGAGUUCUAUUUUCUAGCUCUGUCACUCAUUCCCUUCCAUAUUCAAGUCCACUGACGUUUCUGCAUGCAAAAAUAGCAAUACUCUUCUAUAUAACCUGAAAUAUGGGUAAGUGUACAAUAUGUAAAAAGAGCAGCAACCUCUUUUUUUUCCCCAACAUAAAAAAUUGGAAAGAUAAAAGGAUUAUUUUCUAGGACACAGUGCUUUACGCUGAUCAUGGACAACCCAGCAAUUUCUACAGUGCUCUGCUCUACUCCCAUUUCAACUGCUGUAGAACUACACAGGCAGCAUUUUACAAGGAUCUCUUUAUCUACCCCAGAUUUAAUUUAUCCAUAAUAUCUAAAUCCACAUUCCAGUGGCAGCACAAGGAUUACUGCCAGCUCGCACUGCAACACAUUAAAUAAGAGUCUUUGUACAUUCUUUGUAUCGUGGACCCUUGCACUGCAGUAGAGCAGCAUUUAUUCUCCAAGUGAAAGAAAAUUCAGAAGAUUCUAUAGCACUUUAGAAAACACCAAGAUCUACAUUUCUGUAUUAAACCAUUUUAGCCCAUCUUUUCAAUAGUAUAAAGGUAAAAACAAAGCAGAAUUACUAACCUGCUGCCUGGCAAAGUAGCCCUUUACCAGAGAGCCCAUGAUCUGCUGUGGAGACUUCGCAGUGCAAAUGUGGGGAGUCACAAGGUUGGUAAGAACCCUUUCUGCGUACCGGAUCCAACCUAGAACAGCAGCAAGGCACGAUUAGAUAAUUAGGUGACACAUAAGCAUGGCAAGGUGACAUUAAAAGAAUUUUACAACAGGGAGAACAUUUCCACCGUGGAAAUGAAGUCUGCAUAGGCUGG
rnacentral:tRNA from 1 species